CACGGCCAGGACGCUGCGGAGCUGGUAUCGUUCAAGAAGACCUCCAGCACCUCACCAAGGGUCGUAUGGUUCUUGAGGACAGCCAGGACAUGCCGGGACAGGAAGCUGGCGCUGAGAAAUGCUUAGAAGAGGGCAAAAGGAGCAGAGAAGGACUAACAAGCCUUGAUGUGCUGCUGAGCAGUGCCAUGG